rnacentral:lncRNA from 1 species
CCCCGCGCACACCGUGCCUGCCACCGGCUCGCCCUCCGGCCCAGCCCUGCCGCCAUCUGUCCCUGUCGCCGCCGCAGCGCGGCAGCUGCCCUGAAACCUAAUGCCGCCGGGGCCAGGCCGCCGGGGCGCCCCCCUCUCCGGGGGCCGGGGCAUUCCGGAGGGGAUUAGCUCCCCGGCCUCCGCAGAGGCGCAGGCAGGGCUGGUCCAGCUCGCGGCACCCCUGCGCCGGGCGCAUCCGGGCCUGGAGUGGGGCGGGGGGCGACGUUCCUGUCCCGGCAGCAGAGCCGGGCCUGGGCCGGGAUGGAUGCGAGCUGCUGGGCACAGCGCCGGGGUCACCCAGCCCGGGCAGGGGGGCAGUGGCGGUGCUGAGCCGAACCCGCGCUGCAUCCCUGUGCCGGUCCCUCGGCGCAUCCCAGCUCCCGGCCCCGCCAGGGCCGCCCAGCGAGGCAGAGCCCGGAGGGGAUGCUGCUCUUCAGUGGGGAACGGGCUGGAUGGGGACGGGGCACCCGGAGCGCCGUGGGGCACACACCGGGGCUCGGGCACCCCGCACUGCCCCCCAAGACACCCACCUCCCGCGGGGCCACGGGAGCCGCCGGCGCGAUGCUCGUGGGCAGCAGCGGCACCGACCAGGCGGCACCGUGACAAGCCAGCGAGCGAUGAGGGGAAUUUGGGACACGGGAUCUCGUGGCCAGAGCGGGGCCGGAGCCAAGGGCGCUUUCCAGCGUUUAAAAUACACAUAAGGGAAAGCGGCGAGAACCCGAGCUGCUCCGGGCCCCCAUCCCCCCCACCGCAAACCUUCCGCCUGCCCCGAGCCCCACGGCAGCGACGCCGGCACCUACCCGGCCCGGGGCUCUGCCAUGCGGCACCCAGCUGCGCUCCCGAAGCCGCCUCCGCUCCCCCCGUCCCCGUCCCCGCUCGGAGCCCUCCGGCGAGCGAGCGCUGCGCUAACGAUUUUGGACAAGGCCCCGGGGACUGUCACGUCGCCGCCCCGCGCGUGGCAUCACGCNNNNNNNNNNNNNNNNNNNNNNNNN